GGGGAGCUACUCAGAGAGGCCGCUUUGUCGAGUUACUCACGAUUAGCGUUCUUGUGUGAGCUUCUCAAAUGGAUUUUCAGAUCUGUGAGGUUUUAUUCCUCAUACUUCAUCACCAGUUUUCCAGGCACUUGCUUUUGUCUUUCUCACUGUUGUAUUUAAAGAAAUUUAUUAUAGGACUCUGUUGCUUUCUCCUGCGUUUUGUUGCCAUUUUGCCAGGUAGAAUAGUGAUGAGAAGCCAACUCUAAACAUGAAGGGCUCUAUUUUCGUGUACGCCCGUGAGGCGGCGGAGGGCGGCGAGCCCCGCGCAGUUGUAUUUUUGUCUGGCGCAGCCCGGCGUACAGCCAGUUUGGUAUUUUCAUGGACUGAGGCGCACGGAGGCGAACCGAGAUCCGCCAAGCUGGGCGUGGUGGCGUGGCAGGGGGAGGUGUCGACAGAAUCAGCGGGAGCAGUGACAUUUUCGUGCUCGCCACCGGCGUGUAAAGUGCGCUGAAAGCUCGCUGAUUCAAACCUGGUCAGCUUUCAGCGCGGGCGGAACGCAGCUGGUCUAUAAGUAUUUUGGUAGACUGGCGGCGUAUCGGCAUACGUCACUGAUGCCUCACCGGCAGGUUUCCACAGUGUCAGGCACAUUUCAGUGCAAUAAAUAAUCAUCAACAACUAAUAAUCUGAGUUAGCACAUACUUUAGAUCUAUAUCGAUAUAUUCUGAUCUAUAUCUGAUCUGAUGAGCGCGUUUGGCACUCGUUUGGACACACAACCUGACCGAAUCAACACAGCUGAAACCGCAUUAAAUUGAAUUGAAUAUCUAGUAAAUAAACACACAUGAUGAAUUUAACUAGAUAUGUAAUUCGUCUCCCUCCUUUUCUUUCUUUCUCUUCCUCUUAUUUCUCGCACAGCUCGACUUGGACACGUCUCCGUGUCCUCUCUCCGUCCUGCUGCUGCGGCGGCUGAACAGAUGAUUUGUUUCAGUGCUCAGAUGAGUUAUUUACUUCAAGCCUACAUACGAAUAUUAUAACAUUCAGUUUUGUGAGCCAAAUUUAUUUUAUAUGCCAACAUCUAUGAAAGAAAGAGCCAGGCCACAGAGCGCAAUGCGUCAUUUACGCACAGAUAGUUCCAAUUUUAAUGCAAUUUUUGGAGUUUAUGUUGUGAUCUGUUCACACAACCCACUGUUGUCACGUGAGGUUUGAAUAUUUGCAACUUUAUGUGAGUGUCUUUAUUUGUGGAGAAGGGUGUUUGUCUUACCACUGGGUCCAACAUUACACACACCAAAUCCAUCUGUGCUCAUAUGAGAGAGUGUGGAGGACGCCCAAUGCAGCGCUUACAGUGACACUUGUUGAGGGGCUGCCUUCUGUCGCCAUCAUGUGGCAUUACUGUCUUCAGACAUCUCUUGAUCUCUUUGACUACUUCACGAAAAUGGUAAUAUGCCUCGCCUGUGGCGGAUUUAAAGGCAAGGAGAGGAGCUUAUGUGAUUGGUGAAAACAGGUCUCGGCUGUGUUAAACCCACUCCACGCCCUUCUCCUCCCUCGCUACGACUUACACCGCUGGGAGGAGCUGAGUUAGGGAGGGGGAUACUUACGCCGGGCUGCGCUGCUCACCAAAAUACCAAAUUGUGCUUGGGAACGCCUUGUCGGCGCGGCGGACCUGACUUACGCUGCGCCUGCGGCACGUCUCCGGCGAGGCACGAAAAUAGAGCCCGAAGUGAUGAACUAGGAGGUGCAGUACAGUGCUGCCAGUUCACAUAAAAUUGCUUAAGCGAAAGAAAACAAUUUCAUAUCAAUACAAAAUUGACCAAAACAAAAAUGAAGAGAUUUUUAUCAAUAAUUUUAAUACGUCUCAGUUAGUUUUGUGAACACACAAUACAGUUUCAGUCAGUUAUAGUUUGUUUUUGUUUUUUUAUAACCGUUUUUAUUGUUUUAUUGUUUCUGAAAUGUUCAGUCCCAGUUUCAUCAUUUGGUUUGUUUUAAUUAAUAAUAAUAAUAACCCUGUUGUUAACCCGAACCUCCUUUUCAUAGCAAAAAAAAAACAAACAAAAAAACAAAACAAAAACAAAACAAAAAAAAAACCCACUAUAAAUAAACACAUCAAACCUGAAACUUUCUUCACAGUUUAGAGCAGAAAACAGAUUUGUGCUUGAGAUAUAGUUUUGAUAAAAAGCAUUGUAUCAAUGAUAGUUAUUUUAAAAAAGUUUGUCUCAUGGUACAUUUUCACCAAAACUUUUUUACCCUAACAUCAAGGUCAACUAUUUUCAGUUACCUCAGUUAACAUGAACACUACAGAUCACUGAACCGUUGAUCUUUAGAAGUGAAUCAGGCUACAGAGAAGUUCAUAUUACUCUGUGACUCAACAUUCAUUUAUUUACAGACUGCCACUGUCAUUGUGCUGCAUGCAGCAGGUCCAAACAGAGCUGUCGCUGAAGUGUCACUGAGUGAUGCUGAGACAUGCUAGCCCACAUGAAUCUUGAGCAGCCUUCAUUGGGAAUUAGGCCAGAAGCCUGAAUGUGUAAGCAUGUCACAUGAGACUUUGGUUAAUUUACAGGUGUCAGCAAACACUCAACUCUGAUGUUACUAAGGCAGAAGUGAUGAGGACAGUAUGACAAAUCUCUGCCACUGCCAUCUGUCAAGACAACAUUUAAGAGGACACAUGUUUGUAAAAUCAAAGGAACUUACCUGCCAGUCAUGUACUGGGUUCACUGUUGGCACUGAAGCAACUUUGUUCUGUAGUUAUCCACAGAACGCAGUGGAAACAUGUAAUAGGCUGCAAUAAAAGGGAGUGUGCAGACAUCCCUGCACAGGGAGUAUACUGAGAAACACAGAUGUACCAGUGUGCUACAAACAGACCAUGACUAACCCUGGUAGAAGUUUGACUUCACAGUAGUAAAAUUCACAGAGUGAAUGUAACAUCAGGGUCUCAAAAUAGACCUGAUGGAUGUGGGUGUGCUCAUAACCACAUAAACUUACAAACUAUUGCUCAAGCUCUUCUUUGUUUUGUUCAUCAAUAAGUACUAUUACUUUUUAUACAUGGCAGAAAACAUAAACAUAUAAACACAUGAAUUGACUGUGGAGCUCACUCUCAGUAAACCAAAACACAAAAUUAAAACCUUGGUAUUUUGUGGGGGAUACAUUAGUGUUAAAUGUUUCUGACAGCCCAAAGACAGCUUUAAAGUCUUAGUUGAAGCUUCAGUGUAUUCUUCAAAACCAUAAACUUGAACCCCUGUUUUGCUUUUUCAAACCCAAAGCCUGGUAAGAGACCAUGUUUCCAAAGUGGUCAUCUUCUUGUGAGGUCAUGCUCAGGGUCGGAGAGUUGUAUAUUAUUAUCAUGUAUUGUUAUGGUGGUCAUAAGUCACAUAUAGUGAGGGCCCUCAGAUACAUUUUACUUCAAGUCAUAAUACAAAUAUCCCCAUUGGUAUAAAAGUACCUUAGGGUCAUAGGAAACAUUUUAUCCAAAGAGACAAGUUUGAUCACCCUUCAAUUUUUUUUAUAGACAUUUUAAAAAUGGCCGCCGCUAAUACACCAGACCCUGUAUCUUUGCCUCUGUUGGAGCUAUAAUCAUAAUAUUGGUGUCAAAGUGCACAUUUUUGGGGUCUAGGAAUUCAAUUAAAUAGGUUUGAAUGCAAAAAACCCAAUGCUUCAUUAAUUUCAAAUUUCAUUAGAAAAUGUACGUUUUAACAUGGUAACUUACCCCCCACCCCUUCCCCUAAACGUAGAUUUACUUUUCCUUUGGUAUGGAAGUACCUUAGGACCAUAGGAAAUAAAUUAUCCAAAAAGACAAGUUAGAUCACCCUUCAUUUCUGAAAUACAUGGGUUUACAAAUGGCCACCAUCAUUUAAGUAAUACAGCAGAACUCAUACCUUUGCUUUUGUAAAAGCUAUAAUGGUAAAAUGUGUGUUAAAGUGUACAUUUUCAGGAUCAAGGAAUCCAAUUCAGUAGAUUUCAAGGCAAAAAAAAAAAUCCUAUUAUCAGCACAACAGGGCUCUCCACCUGGUGAAAUAUGCCUAUUAAAAUGGAUGCAAAUACCACUUAAUGCGUAAUGAACACAGAACAAGUUUGUAAUUACGUUUCAGACUUUAAUUGAGAUUUACAAUUCAAUGGCUCCACAAUGGGAGCAUGAACCAUGACAUCCACAGAGAGACAUGCAUGGCUGCCUCUGCAUGCAGCAUUUCCAAGGUGGCCUACAGUCUGUCUUGCACUUGCAAAUAACAAGUUCUGGCAAGUCCCUUGAAAUAAUUGCAGUAGUAGUGUACAGAGGUGUGGGUGCUCUGUCUGGGGAAUCCUGCUGCCAUCCCCACUGUGAGGGUUAGACAGUAGCAGUGUCUUUGACCAGCAUAUUGCCCCAAACAUGUCCACUCUGUAAAGAAAAAUACGAUUAGUGAUAUACUUUAUGACAUUUAAAUAGUAUGCCCAUAUGUAUGGCUGUCUUAUAUCAUUACCUGAUAAGCUACUCGGAGGAGGUGCUGAUGGAGUGCAUCACUGCUUGGCGG